UGAGGAAUAUUGGUCAAUGGGUGCAAGCCUGAACCAGCCAUCCCGCGUGAAGGACGACUGCCCUAUGGGUUGUAAACUUCUUUUGUAUAGGGAUAAACCUACCCUCGUGAGGGUAGCUGAAGGUACUAUACGAAUAAGCACCGGCUAACUCCGUGCCAGCAGCCGCGGUAAUACGGAGGGUGCAAGCGUUAUCCGGAUUUAUUGGGUUUAAAGGGUCCGUAGGCGGACUUAUAAGUCAGUGGUGAAAGCCUGUCGCUUAACGAUAGAACUGCCAUUGAUACUGUAAGUCUUGAGUAUAUUUGAGGUAGCUGGAAUAAGUAGUGUAGCGGUGAAAUGCAUAGAUAUUACUUAGAACACCAAUUGCGAAGGCAGGUUACCAAGAUAUAACUGACGCUGAGGGACGAAAGCGUGGGGAGCGAACAGGAUUANAUACCCUGGUAGUCCACGCCGUAAACGAUGCUAACUCGUUUUUGGGGCCUUCGGCUUCA
rnacentral:rRNA from 1 species